rnacentral:rRNA from 1 species
UACGAAGGGUGCAAGCGUUAAUCGGAAUUACUGGGCGUAAAGCGUGCGCAGGCGGUUUUGUAAGCCAGAUGUGAAAUCCCCGGGCUUAACCUGGGAAUGGCAUUUGGGACUGCAAGGCUUGAGUGCGGCAGAGGAGACUGGAAUUCCUGGUGUAGCAGUGAAAUCCGUAGAUAUCAGGAGGAACACCGGAGGCGAAGGCGGCCAACUGGCGAUGCAUUGACGCUGAGGUGCGAAAGCGUGGGGAGCAAACAGG